UACGUAAGGGUGCAAGCGUUGUCCGGAAUUAUUGGGCGUAAAGAGCUCGUAGGCGGUUCGUCACGUCGGCUGUGAAAUCCCGAGGCUCAACCUCGGGUCUGCAGUCGAUACGGGCGGACUGGAGUACUGCAGGGGAGACUGGAAUUCCUGGUGUAGCGGUGAAAUGCGCAGAUAUCAGGAGGAACACCCGUGGCGAAGGCGGCACUCUGGGACGGUACUGACGCUGAGACGCGAAAGCGUGGGGAGCGAAGCAGG
rnacentral:rRNA from 1 species